rnacentral:rRNA from 1 species
AUUGAACGCUGGCGGCAGGCCUAACACAUGCAAGUCGAGCGGAUGAAGGGAGCUUGCUCCUGGAUUCAGCGGCGGACGGGUGAGUAAUUCCUAGGAAUCUGCCUGGUAGUGGGGGAUAACGUCCGUAAACGGGCGCUAAUACCGCAUACGUCCUGAGGGAGAAAGUGGGGGAUCUUCGGACCUCACGCUAUCAGAUGAGCCUAGUUCGGAUUAGCUAGUUGGUGGGGUAAAGGCCUACCAAGGCGACGAUCCGUAACUGGUCUGAGAGGAUGAUCAGUCACACUGGAACUGAGACACGGUCCAGACUCCUACGGGAGGCAGCAGUGGGGAAUAUUGGACAAUGGGCGAAAGCCUGAUCCAGCCAUGCCGCGUGUGUGAAGAAGGUCUUCGGAUUGUAAAGCACUUUAAGUUGGGAGGAAGGGCAGUAAGUUAAUACCUUGCUGUCUUGACGUUACCAACAGAAUAAGCACCGGCUAACUUCGUG